rnacentral:lncRNA from 1 species
UUUGGGAAUUCUUUCCAUCCUUCUUAAGAGCCUUAAAAGAUUCAGUUGCUGCAGUAUCCCCAGUGGAUUUUGACGUCAAAGAAACUAUUGAGGCCGCAACAGCUGGACCUUUUUUCACUGGACGAGGCUUUGCCUUGGGUUGAAACUUGCCGCCAGCCUUGACUGCACCAAAAUAACAACAUAAACUUGAAAGAAUGAGAAUAUAUUAUAUCAC